rnacentral:rRNA from 1 species
GCCAGUACAUAAGGUUGCCAACCCUCUGAGGGGGAGCUAAUCCUAUAGAAGCUGGUCGUAGUCCAGAUCGCAGUCUGCAACUCGACUSCGUGAAGUCGGAAUCGCUAGUAAUCGCGAAUCAGCAUGUCGCGGUGAAUACGUUCCCGGGCCUUGUACACACCGCCCGUCACACCAUGGGAGUGGGCUGCACCAGAAGUAGGUUGCUUAACCCGUAAGGGAGAGGCGCUUACCACGGUGUGGUUCAUGACUGGGGUGAAGUCGUAACAAGGUAGCCGUAUCGGAAGGUGCGUGCUGGAUCACG